GAAUCGUUUCUUCUCCUCACGACCCUCUAUGUCUUUGUUAUCAUCGUUUGGACUUUGGAGGACAUGAAAUAGCGAGAACAAAGAGAAGGGACUGAGCGUAGACCUCUGGCAACCGAUGAUAACAAAGCAAUAAGUUGUUUUCUAAAAGCUUAGCCAAACAUGCCCGAAAUCUCCGAUCAUUGGGAUUUGAACAGUUGCGACGGCGGUGUAUUCUUCAUCAGAAUCGGUAGGGCUGGGGUAAGUUUUCGGGUUCGAUUGUUCCAAUUGCGUGUCUCUUUCAUUGAGGACGUAUGUGACUUGUUGGAUAACAAAUGGGUAGAAUGGGCAAACAUCAACCGGAAUCGAGUGUAUACUAAACCCAGUUUCCCAGGUGGAAUAUGAAGUUCUAAACUUGCAUGAUCCGGAACAUGCUCAGAUCACUGUUUUCAGGCACUGUGGACUCUCAUUUUUUUGGAAUCCUUGUAAAAACGUUGAGAUCAUGUGUUGUACUUGUUAAAGAUCAUUACCCAACCCGGCUUGGGUGUUUACUUGUUAUAUGGCCCCCUCCUGUUGCCCGAGUCAUAAUUCAAACUCUAUUCCAAGUUAGCAUGUUUGAUUU